rnacentral:rRNA from 1 species
ACGGGGUGCAGCAGGCGCGAAAACUUUACACUGCACGCAAGUGCGAUAAGGGGACUCCGAGUGUCCGUACACAGUACGGACUGUCCAGAUGCCUAAAAAGCAUCCGUUAGCAAGGGCCGGGCAAGACCGGUGCCAGCCGCCGCGGUAACACCGGCGGCUCGAGUGGUGGUCGCUAUUAUUGGGUCUAAAGGGUCCGUAGCCGGUCCAGCCAGUCCUUUGGGAAAUCUGACGGCUUAACCGUCAGGCUGCUAAGGGAUACUGCUGGACUUGGGACCGGGAGAGGCUAGAGGUAUUUCAGGGGUAGGAGUGAAAUCCUGUGAUCCUUGAAGGACCACCGGUGGCGAAGGCGUCUAGCUAGAACGGCUCCGACGGUGAGGGACGAAAGCUAGGGGCACGAACGGGAUUAGAUACCCCGGUAGUCCUAGCCGUAAACGAUGUGAGCUAGGUGUCAGCCUUUCUGCGAGAGAGGCUGGUGCCGUAGGGAAGCCGUGAAGCUCACCACCUGGAAGUACGUCGCAAGGC